GAAACUCUUGCAUGCCACUGGUUUGUGCUAACAGUGGCUGCAUUAUUACAGGGCCGAAUUAAUCUUCCAGGCGUCCGUUUGUGUUACUCCGAUCAGGCAGGUCUUGUUUGUGCAGGGCUGACCCUGCUUCCUGGCGUGCUCGCCUGGAGAUGCUGUGCCAGAUUCCCCAGUGCUGAGGCAAAACAACUCAGCUGGCACGUUGUGGGAACUGUGGGGACAGCGGGCCAGUGGCCAUGGGGCACACACUGCCCUGGGACUGGCAGGGACUCUGUAGGAGGAUUUAAGGGACUAAGGACCUUUGUAACUCAGAGCAAUACAUGCUUGAUCAACUUCUCCUGGGUCCUGUGUGAUUUGCAGAAGGCAUUAGCUGUAAGAGGUACCCCCUCCAUAGCACUGCCUCUCCAGCUGGCUGUCCCAUCUUCUGGCACUCAGCCUAUUGGGUAGGUCUUCCGAUCUCUUAAUUGAACAAAGAUAUGGUGAUACAGGGGCUGUGAAAUACCGCUUGCACAUCUUGUUUCCAUAUAGGAUUUGACGGUCAGUUUGCCAACACAUUCAAGACCUGCUACUCAUCUUUUUUA
rnacentral:lncRNA from 1 species